AGAAGCUAAGCUCGAUGCACCACAGGUACCUGCUCCAGAACCCAAGCUUUGAUCCUGCCCUUGUGAAAUUUUGCACCAUAGAUUUGGGAAGCGGUGCUGACUGAUACCCACAGCUCAUCUGUGAAAGAGGAAGAAGAGGGGACCUUCUCUGUGAGCCUCCCUGUGGGCAAGAAAGGAAAUCUUUCCUCCCUAUAGAUUCCACACAGGGGGGAAGUUCCUGUGCCCAGGCAAGGGCACAGCUCUGCCCUAGGCCAGCCACCAGCCAAGCAGCACACAGGAAGUUCUGCUUAAUCACAAACAAGGGCCUCACUUCGCUGCCCAGGUUGGCCUGGAAUUUGGGAUCCCCUUGUCUCAGCCUCCCCAAAUGCCGGGAUGACAGGAGUGCACCUUCACACCAGGCCCAGACUCCUCUGGUAAAAUGGGGACAUUAAUCAAAAUGCCUCGGGUGGCCAUGCGGAUCGACUGCAGGAGAGUUGAGGGCAGCCUUCAGCGCAUCCCCAGGCACCCGAGGACUGCCCACUGGCUGAAAACCAUGUAACAUAACAAAUUUAGCCAACAGAGGGCUGAUUCCUCAAGGAGUUGUCUGUCACUUAAGAAGAAAGUGCAAAAGGCUGUGAGGGAAAAUUCUGGAUGAGCGUAGAAAGUUUUCAGGAAGCCUGUGUGGGUGCGUGGUCUUUUUAAAUGCAAAGAAGAUUUGCAAGGAUCCUAUGUGAACUGCUAAAGAGAGUCACGUGACUGGGAUGAGCACCACAGGCAGGUGGGGAGCUUUUGUAUUUUACUCUUAGAGUAAAGCAUUUUCAAGGGAAAAAAAAAUUCAAAGCAGGCACUCCCAUUGGACUUUAUUUUUGUAAUGGGGAUUAAACCCAGAGAUGCUUUACCACUGAGUCACAUCUCCAGCCCUUUUUAUUCCCCAGCCCUUUAAUUUUCAUUUUGAGACAGAGUCUUGCUAAGUUGCUGAUGUAGAGAGCCAGAUGUAGAGAGCACUGCGACUGGCAGAGGCCCCCUGGUUUGAGAGGGGCCCUUUGCUCCCACAGGGAAAGCUGAUGCUGAGCCCCAUCCUUCAGGCCCUUCUAAGGAUGGGCAGGGGGCCAUCCUAGGGUCUAUUUCAUGUAAACCUAUUAGGAUUUACUUUAUUUUUUUUUUGGUGGGGGGUACCAGGGUUUGAACCCAGAGACACUUAACCACUGAGCCACAUCCCCAGACCUUUUUUUUU